UACGGGGGGGGCAAGCGUUGUUCGGAAUUACUGGGCGUAAAGGGCUCGUAGGUGGCCAACUAGGUCAGACGUGAAAUCCCUCGGCUUAACCGGGGAACUGCAUCUGAUACUGGAUGGCUUGAGUUCGGGAGAGGGAUGCGGAAUUCCAGGUGUAGCGGUGAAAUGCGUAGAUAUCUGGAGGAACACCGGUGGCGAAGGCGGCAUCCUGGACCGACACUGACGCUGAGGAGCGAAAGCCAGGGGAGCAAACGGG
rnacentral:rRNA from 1 species